CAGAGAUGCUCGUCACCUGAAGAGUGUUCAGUUCAGGACAAAUGCAUCAAGGGGUGGAAGAUUAAUCGAAGCUAUUUCAAGUUUUAAGAAUGAAGAGGUUCUGGCUUUGUGCAGUCGCCAUACUUACUUUGUGCAAUUUGUCGCAUUCUGACGUUUGCAGGAGUUUGUGUUCCUGUCAUGAUUUAAAUUAUGCAUACGACGUUUAUUGCGGAGGGAGAGGUGUUAAUUCAACUUUACUAUUCAACAUCAGGUUUCCAAAGGACACGACACAUCUGUAAGUUCAUUACUGGUGCCCAAUUGACGGCUUUUAGAGUGUUUUUGGCUAAACUACAAAAUACAAGGUCACUCAUUUCUAUAUUAUUGAUAACAAAAAACUUAUAUUAUAAUGUUUCGUUUUACAAAAGCUUCUGACUGGUCUCUACGUUCUGGCCCUGCAGGGCCUUGAAUUAUGUAGUUGCUCGUUGUUUUUAUUUGUGGCGGAGUAUGGCAGAAUCCGUGGAUUAGGACGAGAAAUAUCUCAAGAAGCACUUCAAACAUCGAGUAGAGUAGUUCUAGGUUAUUCAAAGACCAAUUUUUUUUUCUUAUCAAGUAGUCCUCCUAUUGAUGUUAUAUUUGGGAUGCACAAAUCGUGUUGCUUUGUUUAAUCAGCUGUUCGUAGUCUAUGAAGAACUCGAUGGUGUA